CCCAUUGCAGUGCCUUUCCUCACUUGAAAGUUGAAAUUGGGUUUAGGGUUUGGUUGAGCCAGAAUCCCCAAAUGCUGGGAAAGGGAAGAAAAGUUUCCGGUCGCGGCGAGACCGUGGCGGCCAACUACGCCUUCGGCCCUCACGAAGAUGACGUAAUCAUCAAGCACCGCCUUCUCACUCGCACCACCACCACAAGAGGCGAGCCGCCGUUGAAGAAGCUCCAGAAGAAGUUCACCUCCCUCUUCGUCGAGCUCGACAAGGACGGCGACGGCGACAGCCAUGCCGACUGCGAGAAGCUCGCCAGGGCCUUCCUGCAGGAGCUCUCCACCUUCGAGAUUCCGCUCCUGAAGAGCAAGGCGGUGGUGGACGCGAAUCUGGCAGAGAAGCACAACUUCGACGAGCUGAGGGAGGAGAUCAAUCGGCAGAUUCUGCAGGCGCAGAGUGACAUUGAGACUCUGAAGAAGCAGCUGGAGGAGGCCAAGAUCGAGCGGCGGCAUAAGGAGGCGUGUGAGGCCAUCAGGAGGCUGAUUGCGGCACAGCCGCCGCGUGCUCAGACGCUGAAGAUCAUAUCGGAAUUGGAGACGGAGAUUGCGGCUUCGGAUUCGGAGAAUACAGCCAGUUCGAGGAUGCUGGAGCUUCGGAAGAAGCAGUUUGCUCUGCUGUUACAUGUGGUGGAUGAGUUGCAGACUACUAUAGAGGAAGAGCAGAAGAGUUUGAUUGAGGAGAAGGAGCAGAGAAGUGUGAUGGAGGAUGUGAAUGGAGGACCGGACCCAAUGCAUGUUGACUAAGGGUGUGCAAUGCCUCUCGGAUUUGUAAUUGUAAGAUUCUGUGCUCAUAUAUAUUCGAUUGAUGCAAUGGUCUCGGUGUUGAUUGGAAUAAGGAAGUAUACAUUUGUCUCAGUUGUAGUAUGUGAGCACUCUAAUCUUCGUCAGUCUUGUGCAUCUGGUUCAGUAAAGAAUGGUGGGUGAGUUGCAGGCUUGGGAGAGCAGAACACUUAAUUGAGGAGAAAGAGCGCAAGUAUGCAUUAAAGCAUGCAAGUGGGGCUAGAAAACGAUGCAUGUUGAUACAAGUAUAUGAGAGCAUCUUGGAUUUGUAAUUGUAAGAUUUUAUGCUCAUAAGUUCUACACUUCUACUCAUGAAAUCAUUUACAUCUCAAUUUUUGGUGAUAGGCAUGCAAGAGAAUAUAAGCUUGCUGAACUGUAGUCAUAGUAAGUA